rnacentral:rRNA from 1 species
AACGAACGCUGGCGGCAUGCCUAACACAUGCAAGUCGAACGAGACCUUCGGGUCUAGUGGCGCACGGGUGCGUAACGCGUGGGAAACUGCCCUUGGGUUCGGAAUAAAUCACCGAAAGGGGUCCGGAUACCGGAUAAUGUCUUCGGACCAAAGAUUUAUCGCCUUUGGAUGGGCCCGCGUUGGAUUAGCUAGUUGGUAGGGUAAAAGCCUACCAAGACGACGAUACAUAGCUGGUCUGAGAGGAUGAUCAGCCACACUGGGACUGAGACACGGCCCAGACUCCUACGGGAGGCAGCAGUGGGGAAUAUUGGACAAUGGGCGAAGGCCUGAUACAGCAAUGCCGCGUGAGUGAUGAAGGCUUUAGGGUUGUAAAGCUCUUUUACCCGGGAUGAUAAUGACAGUACCGGGAGAAUAAGCACCGGCUAACUCCGUG